rnacentral:tRNA from 1 species
GUGGGUGAAGCUAAUUGGUAAAGCACCCGACUUUAAUCGGGAAUCAAUUGUGGGUUCGAAUCCCACCAUCCACG